GGCAACUUAGCCGAGCGGUUAAGGCGAUAGUUUUAGGUACUAGUUUAAAAGAGCGAGAGUUUAAAUCUCUUUAGUUGUCA
rnacentral:tRNA from 1 species